rnacentral:rRNA from 1 species
UAGGGAAUCUUCCACAAUGGGCGCAAGCCUGAUGGAGCAACACCGCGUGAGUGAAGAAGGGUUUCGGCUCGUAAAGCUCUGUUGUUAAAGAAGAACACGUAUGAGAGUAACUGUUCAUACGUUGACGGUAUUUAACCAGAAAAUCACGGCUAACUACGUGCCAG